GAGGAGCCGGGACCCACGAGGGGGAGGGAGAGGAUGGGGGGAGAGAUGGAUUGGGGAUUGUUUAAGGCGACUCACUCCUCCCCUCCCGUCUUCUUCCUCGCCCUCCUUGCCGGCCGCCCCCGGG
rnacentral:precursor_RNA from 12 species